CCUACGGGCGGCAGCAGUGGGGGAUAUUGCACAAUGGGGGGAACCCUGAUGCAGCGACGCCGCGUGGGUGAAGAAGCGCCUCGGCGCGUAAAGCUCUGUCAGCAGGGAAGAAAAUGACGGUACCUGAAGAAGAAGCUCCGGCUAACUACGUGCCAGCAGCCGCGGUAAUACGUAGGGGGCAAGCGUUAUCCGGAUUUAGUGGGUGGAAAGGGGGAGCAGACGGCGCUGCAAGCCAGGAGUGAAAGCCCGGGGCCCAACCCCGGGACUGCUGUUGGAACUGCGUGGCUGGAGUGCAGGAGGGGCAGGCGGAAUUCCUGGUGUAGCGGUGAAAUGCGUAGAUAUCAGGAGGAACACCGGUGGCGAAGGCGGCCUGCUGGACUGCAACUGACGUUGAGGCCCGAAAGCGUGGGGAGCAAACAGGAUUAGAUACCCGUGUAGUC
rnacentral:rRNA from 1 species